UACGGAGGGUGCAAGCGUUGUCCGGAUUUAUUGGGUUUAAAGGGUGCGCAGGUGGUUUAUUAAGUCAGUGGUGAAAGACGGUCGCUCAACGAUUGCAGUGCCAUUGAAACUAGUAGACUUGAGUAAAGUAGAGGUGGGCGGAAUUGAUAGUGUAGCGGUGAAAUGCAUAGAUAUUAUCAAGAACUCCAAUUGCGAAGGCAGCUCACUUGGCUUUUACUGACACUCAUGCACGAAAGUGUGGGUAUCAAACAGG
rnacentral:rRNA from 2 species